rnacentral:rRNA from 1 species
AUACGGAGGUUGCAAGCGUUAAUCGGAAUUACUGGGCGUAAAGGGUUCGUAGGCGGUUAUUUAAGUCAGAUGUGAAAGCCCCGGGCUCAACCUGGGAAUUGCAUCUGAUACUGGGUAACUAGAGUUUAAGAGAGGAGUGUGGAAUUUCCGGUGUAGCGGUGAAAUGCAUAGAGAUCGGAAGGAACAUCAGUGGCGAAGGCGGCACUCUGGCUUAAAACUGACGCUGAGGAACGAAAGCGUGGGUAGCAAACAGGAUUAGAUACCCUAGUAGUCC